rnacentral:tRNA from 1 species
UCCUGGCUGGUUCAGUUGGUAGAGCAUGGGACUCUUGAUCUCAGGGGCUGUGGGUUCGAGCCCUAUCUUGGGUA